rnacentral:tRNA from 1 species
GUCCCUAUCGUCUAAUGGUUUAGGACGCGAGAUUUUCAUUCUCGAAAUUCGGGUUCGAUUCCCGGUGGGGGUA